UACAGAGGGUGCGAGCGUUGUCCGGAAUCGACUGGGCGUAAAGGGCGCGUAGGUGGCGCUCCAAGUCCGUGGUGAAAGCUCGAUGCUCAACAUCGAGUCGGCCACGGAGACUGGAGGGCUCGAGCAGCUGUAGGGGCAGAUGGAAUUCCGGGUGUAGCGGUGGAAUGCGUAGAGAUCCGGAAGAACACCGGUGGCGGAAGGC
rnacentral:rRNA from 1 species